UAUAGAAUGUCAAACAAAAAU
rnacentral:piRNA from 1 species